AGAGUUUGAUCCUGGCUCAGGAUGAACGCUGGCGGCGUGCCUAAAACAUGCAAGUCGUGCGGCAGCAUGCCCUUUGGGGUGAUGGCGAGCGGCGGACGGCUGAGUAACACGUGGGAAUCUGCCCCAAAGUGAGGGAUAACUGCUCGAAAGAGUAGCUAAUACCGCAUAUGCUCUUCGGAGUAAAGCUUCGGCGCUUUGGG
rnacentral:rRNA from 1 species